rnacentral:lncRNA from 1 species
GGUAAAGAUAAAAGUUGAUGUACAUUAACGUUGAAAACGCAAUAUACGCACCGUAUGAAGAUAACAACAAAAUCAAAUCACACUGCUAUAUAUACAUAUAUGUGAUUAAGAAAUGUUAACAAUUCUUAAUCACAAUAUACAUUUCUUAAUCACAAUUGAUUAACAUUUGAUUUCAAACGAGUUUAUCUCUCUCUCUCGAAUGGAUUAAAUGGUCAAAAUAUCACGAGAUAAGGAAAGACUCUUUUAUUUCUUUAUGACUUAAGAAAUGUUUAUUGUACUACAACCAACACCACACUUUUGUUUAACGCAUAAAUAUGCAUUUGAUUUUUCUAUAUAAUAUCAUUGAAAUAUAAUAUGAUUCAAAAUCCACUCACAUCUAGUAAAUACUAAACUUUACUCCAAACCUCGACUUCUAAAUAUUAAACCUUAAACUUUAAACAUCGCCCUUCCAUCUAAAUACUAAACCCUAAACCCUAAUUACUGAACCUAAACCCAAAUAUAAACCUUAAAUCCAAUUGUCAAAAUCUGAAAAUAGUAUAUAAUAUUAUGUAAUAUUAAACUAAAUCCAAACCUAAUUUUUGAAUAGUAUAGGACUCCAAUCCAACACACAACUCCUCAAUGCUAAACUCAAACCUAACUUUUGAAUACUAAACCCAAAAAUGCUAUCACUAAACCCAAACCUAAACUCCCACCUUCCAAAUACUAAACUCUAAAUCCUAAUCACUAAACCCUAAACUCAAAUAUAGACUCUAAACCCAAAUAGAAUGGAACAAAAUACAUAGUAUAUUACAAAUUGGUGAGCAAAAUAGAACACUCUUUAUUAAUCGUCAAAUGGAACAUACAUAAUACGGUCACUAAACCCAAACCUCAACCCCCACCUUCCAAAUACUAAACCCUAAAUCUUAAUCACUAAACCCUAAACUAAAGUAUAAACUCUAA